rnacentral:rRNA from 1 species
UACGUAGGGGGCUAGCGUUGCUCGGAUUGACUGGGCGUAAAGGGCGCGUAGGCGGUCUGUCCAGUCAGGCGUGAAAUUCCUGGGCUCAACCUGGGGGCUGCGUUUGAUACGUGCAGACUAGAGUGCGGAAGAGGGUCGUGGAAUUCCCAGUGUAGAGGUGAAAUUCGUAGAUAUUGGGAAGAACACCGGUGGCGAAGGCGGCGACCUGGUCCGAUACUGACGCUGAGGCGCGAAAGCGUGGGGAGCAAACAGG